rnacentral:rRNA from 1 species
UACGAAGGGGGCUAGCGUUGCUCGGAAUCACUGGGCGUAAAGCGCACGUAGGCGGCUUUCUAAGUCAGGGGUGAAAUCCUGGAGCUCAACUCCAGAACUGCCUUUGAUACUGGCGACCUUGAGUCCGGGAGAGGUGAGUGGAACUGCGAGUGUAGCGGUGAAAUGCGUAGAUAUCGAGAGGAACACCUGCGGCGAAGGCGGGUUGCUGGGCUGACACUGACGCUGAACUGCGAAAGCUAGGGGAGCGAACGGG